rnacentral:rRNA from 1 species
CGUUGGCGGCGUGGAUGAGGCAUGCAAGUCGAACGCGAAAGCCGCAAGGCGAGUAAAGUGGCGGACGGGCGAGUAACACGUAAUCAAGCUGCCCAAGAGACGGGGAUAAACCUCGGGAAACCGAGGCUAAUACCCGAUGGUCUGCCGGGGGCGCAUGUUCCUGGUAGUAAAUGGACGGGAUCCUUCGGGACCGUCUGCUCGCAGAGGUGAUUGCGGCCCAUCAGCUAGUUGGUAGGGUAAUGGCCUACCAAGGCAACGACGGGUAGCCGGCCUAAGAGGGUGGUCGGCCGCACUGGGACUGAGACACUGCCCAGACUCCUACGGGAGGCUGCAGUCGAGAAUCUUCCGCAAUGGGCGAAAGCCUGACGGAGCGACGCCGCGUGGAGGACGAAGGCCUUCGGGUUGUAAACUCCUGUCACGAGUUAAGAAGGGUAUGCGGCGAACACGCCGUAUGCCUUGACGUAAGCUCGAGAGGAAGCACUGGCUAACACUGUG